GNNNGNNNGNGNNNUNUGNCNUNAACNUGCAAGUCGAACGGAGACUGUAGCAAUACUGUCUUAGUGGCGAACGGGUGAGUAACGCGUUGGUGAUCUGCCUCGAAGUGUGGAAUAACCUCCCGAAAGGGAAGCUAAUACCGCAUAGUCUCUCAAGGUUUAGAAAAUUGAGAGUAAAGGAUUUAUUCGCUUCGAGAGGAGCCUGCGUCCCAUCAGCUCGUUGGUAGGGUAACGGCCUACCAAGGCAAUGACGGGUAGGGGACCUGAGAGGGUGGCCCCCCACAAUGGAACUGAAACACGGUCCAUACACCUACGGGUGGCAGCAGUAGGGAAUAUUAGAAAUGGGCGGAAGCCUGAUCUAGCAACACCGCGUGUGCGAUGAAGGCCUUCGGGUCGUAAAGCACUUUUUGGAGGGAAUAGGAAGGAAGGUACCUCCAGAAUAAGUCUCGGCUAACUACGUGCCAGCAGCCGCGGUAACACGUAGGAGGCAAACGUUAUCCGGAUUCACUGGGCGUAAAGCGCGUGCAGGUGGUUCCGUAAGUAGGGCGUGAAAGCUCCCGGCUCAACUGGGAGAGGCCGUACUAAACUGCGGAGCUAGAGGAUGGUAGAGGGAGGUGGAAUUCCAGGUGUAGUGGUGAAAUGCGCAGAUAUCUGGAGGAACACCAGUGGCGAAGGCGGCCUCCUGGACCAUUCCUGACACUCAGACGCGAAAGCUAGGGUAGCAAAACGGAAUUAGAGACUCCGGUAGUCCUAGCCCUAAACCGAUGCAGACUAGGCGUCGGCGGUUUAAUCACCGUCGGUGUCCAAGCUAACGCGAUAAGUCUGCCGCCUGAAGACUACGGCCGCAAAGCUAAAAACCUUAAAGGAAUUGACGGGGUCCCCCGCACAAGCAGCCGGAGCGUGUGGGUUAAAUUCGAUGCUUCCGCCAAGAACCUUAACUUGGGUUUGACAUAACAGUGGUAGAAGAAGUGAAAAACGGAACCCGACCCCUU
rnacentral:rRNA from 1 species